rnacentral:rRNA from 1 species
AUUGAACGCUGGCGGAAUGCUUUACACAUGCAAGUCGAACGGCAGCACGGGGCAACCUGGUGGCGAGUGGCGAACGGGUGAGUAAUACAUCGGAACGUGCCCAGUCGUGGGGGAUAACGUAGCGAAAGUUACGCUAAUACCGCAUACGAUCUAUGGAUGAAAGCGGGGGAUCGCAAGACCUCGCGCGAUUGGAGCGGCCGAUGUCAGAUUAGGUAGUUGGUGGGGUAAAGGCCUACCAAGCCGACGAUCUGUAGCUGGUCUGAGAGGACGACCAGCCACACUGGGACUGAGACACGGCCCAGACUCCUACGGGAGGCAGCAGUGGGGAAUUUUGGACAAUGGGCGCAAGCCUGAUCCAGCCAUUCCGCGUGCAGGAUGAAGGCCUUCGGGUUGUAAACUGCUUUGUACGGUAACGAAAAGGACUCUGGUUAAUACCGGGCGUCAUGACGGUACCGUAAGAA